GGGGGGAGUCAGCAGUAAGAGGUAAGUAGAAAUACAGACACUUAAAAAAAGUUGAUGCUCUAAUUCUAGAAGAGUCAAUCCUGUGAAUCCUCUUUUGUCUGAUCAUUACUUUACAAUAAUGGAUUACACAGAAUUAAGGGAAUACAUUUCAUUACGGCAGAUGUCUUUCUGAAAGGGCUGUAACUAAGUUUAAGGAUAUAAUUCCUCCACUGUUAUCUUCUUCAAUGCCAUGUGCCAACAGAGUGCAGAGUAGCUACCUGAACUCUACCCCCACAAUGGUCAAUUAUCUUUGAACUUGAAGAUGUAAAAUUAUUAAAUUUGACAGCUGUGGCCACUGGAGGGGGACAUUGAUCCAUCACCAUACACAAACCUCAUGUCAUUGAAGAGGCUGGUUCAGGGUGCUCAGAAAGUUUUGGAUGGAAUUCCAUGAAACACGAUGAACUUUUGGAGUCAAUCCUUAUCAGGAUCCAGGAAAUUUUGGAGUGAUAAUUUACCAUUGUGAGUUAGGUAGGCCUGAGUGUACACAGCAGUGUUCACUUGGAAGUGCUGAAGCAUCAAAACAAAGAAAUGGUCUUUCUGCUAGUUAGACUGGUUCUUAUAUUUGAGUAUGCAAAGCACUUUAUACAAUAUACCUUAUUCCCACCUGGGUGGUGGUGGGGGGGAUCAGAAGUGUAUUUUAUUAGCAGAAACAGGAGGGAAUAGCAGUUAAACUGAUUAUUUCAACUUGUCUCCAGACAAAAACUUUAAUUUUUGUUUCCACAUGGUGAAGUGAAAUAAAACAACUCUUCUGUCCUUCAGUUGUUCUUACAGUGAAAAAACACUAGCAUUGCUAAUGCAUGCUUAUUGGUUUGGGAUUUGGGAGAGUUCAUUGCCGAUUGCACCCAUUUACAGAUGAUAACUCCAUUGUAGUUGAACUCGAGCAGAAAUAUCCAUGUGAGUAAAAAAAUUGGUUGUGGUGCCUGAAGCUGAUGCUAUUAUCAGUUUUCUGCUCGAUUCAUGCCUCAAAUUAAAGUGGAAGAUGCUGUAAAAUGGUUUUUGGUGCUGCGACGUCACUACAAAAGAAAGCUGCCAAGCAUCUAAAAAUGGAGCUGCAUCUAUGAACUUCUCCCUUAUAUAUUAGAAGCUCAGCAUGCAGACAAUCAGUGUGAAUGUCAAGUCUCGUUUAUUUGUCCUACAGCAGUGACUCAGGUCAGAAGAGCUUCUCCAGCACACUGACAGACUCGGGUCUGUUCCAGGCUUUAUGUAAACGUGACACGUGAUGACCAAGGCAGGACAGGUCCCGUGUGAACCAAUUACCUGUUAAUGUGUGUGCGCCCUCAGCAGCAUCUCAGGAAUGUAAAUAAAACCAUUUUCACACACAGACACAGACAUUAAUCUAUUGACCUAUUAUUGUAGGGUCUUUACCUUACAAUAUAAAGCACCUUGAGGUGACUGCUGUAUAAAUAAGGUUGAACUGAAUUAA